UACGAAGGGAGCUAGCGUUGUUCGGAAUCACUGGGCGUAAAGCGCACGUAGGCGGAUGUGUCAGUCAGGGGUGAAAUCCCGGAGCUCAACUUCGGAACUGCCUUUGAUACAGCACGUCUUGAGUCCGAUAGAGGUGGGUGGAAUUCCUAGUGUAGAGGUGAAAUUCGUAGAUAUUAGGAAGAACACCGGUGGCGAAGGCGGCCCACUGGAUCGGUACUGACGCUGAGGUGCAAAAGCGUGGGGAGCAAACAGG
rnacentral:rRNA from 1 species